rnacentral:rRNA from 1 species
UACGUAGGUGGCAAGCGUUGUCCGGAUUUAUUGGGUUUAAAGGGUGCGUAGGUGGACAAGUAAAUCAGUGGUGAAAUCUCCGGGCUUAACCCGGAAACUGCCAUUGAUACUAUUUGUCUUGAAUACUGUGGAGGUCAGCGGAAUAUGUCAUGUAGCGGUGAAAUGCUUAGAUAUGACAUAGAACACCAAUUGCGAAGGCAGCUGGCUACACAAAUAUUGACACUGAGGCACGAAAGCGUGGGGAUCAAACAGG